CGACGAGGGGAGNCCAAGUGCUUGCACAAUGUGUAAGCUGUUUCCGUGCCUAAAAAGCACGGAGAGUAAGGGCUGGGUAAGACGGGUGCCAGCAGCCGCGGUAAUA
rnacentral:rRNA from 1 species